UACGGAGGGAGCUAGCGUUGUUCGGAAUUACGGGGCGUAAAGCGCACGUAGGCGGUUUUUCAAGUCAGAGGUGAAAGCCCGGGGCUCAACCCCGGAAUAGCCUUUGAAACUGGACGACUAGAAUCAAGGAGAGGUGGGUGGAAUUCCGAGUGUAGAGGUGAAAUUCGUAGAUAUUCGGAAGAACACCAGUGGCGAAGGCGGCCCACUGGACGUGAAUUGACGCUGAGGUGCGAAAGCGUGGGGAGCAAACAGG
rnacentral:rRNA from 1 species